UUUCCGUAGGUGAACCUGCGGAGGGAUCAUUACAGAGUUCAUGCCCUACCGGGUAGAUCUCCCACCCUAUGUUAUUAUUACUUUGUUGCUUUGGCGGGCCGUUAGGCUCCGGCCCGACUACCGGCCCCGGCUGGUAAGCGCCCGCCGGAGGACCCAAAACCCUGAAUAUUAGUGUCGUCUGAGUACUAUAUAAUAGUUAAAACUUACAACAACGGAUCUCUUGGUUCUG
rnacentral:misc_RNA from 1 species